AUGUCCUGUGUGAUCUUGUUCCUGGCAGCCAUGCUGUGCAGAUCCUCCUCACUGCGCCUCUUGUCCGGGUGCUGCAGCAGGUACGCCUCCACCAGGUUGUUGAGGAUGUGGUUUUUACAGAUGCGCUCGACUGGACAGCGGCAGGUGGGGCACAGGGCAGACCGCUCCAUCCAGCCCGAACGGAUGAGCACACGUCGGUCUUUAGGGAGUUUUUCAGAAACUAAAGAAAAUCCCUACUCACCCAGAUGGCAGCUGUCCGGACCCUGGUGGCCAUCCCCACAGCCAGUUUUGAGUUCCCUGCAAGAGAGUGACAGGACCCGACGGCUGCGGGAGGAGAGAAUCGUGAGGGAACAGAUCUCUCCGCCAAGCCCGCGCCCACGCGGGACCCUCUUGAUACCAGAGGACGUGCACCUCCCUCCUCUCACGCUGCCGCGGCGUCACUUCGUCCCCACCUACACACACGCGACUGGGCCAGGGCAGGCGUGAGGGAGGCCAGACCUUCUGCACGGUCCCGCCCCCUUGAUUUUGGAGGGAAUUGGCGCGCACCCGCUCCCCCGAACCCUGAACUGGAAGCGCGGGAAUGCGGGGGAGAUGCGCUCCCAGCCGACCUCCUGGAUCUUGCAACCAGAUCUGCUCGUUCUCCCUCUCGACUUUGAGUCACCCGCUCUGGGCGCUUCGGCGACGGCCCUCGGGCAGCCGAGGUCGGCCGGCACCAGCUCAGGUCACCGCGACCGGCAUGAGUGAGACCCACGGGCAGGACAAACUACAACUCCCAGAAGCCUCCGCGGUCAUCCCUCCUCCGGGGGUGGCUCCGACCAAGGGCCGCCGGGAGGGGGCGCUGCAGCCGCGAAUCGCAGAGUUCCAGGCCCCAUCCUUGGGCGGGCGUUUGGGGGCUUUCAGUAAUACAGAGGAUUAAAAGAAUUUAUAGCAAUAGCGCAAAGCAGGGAGGGGUGGGCGUUGACUUUAAACUAUUUUGAUUCCUGCUUUCCAAUGGCAGAAGUACUAAUUUAAAGUUUAAUAACAAAAAGAUAUAUUCCGUUGUAUAAGAGACAUUUUCAUGUAAAUUAAAUUUAUUUUCCAGAAAAAUUCGGAAUGGCAUUGUUUUCCUUUGGGGGUGGGGAUGGGAGAAUCUUUUAACUGUCCGGCUUAAUGUAAAACGGCUGGAUUCUCAUAUGUGCUUCUGCAUUCACUCUGGUUGUGUAUGUUGCUUCUGUGGAAGUAUAUUAAAACAUCUGGCCACACAUAGGUAUGUCGUUGGAAAAGGACAGUAUUUCAAUAUACUUAGAUGAUUUUACUUCUUAGUAAAAGCUGAACAGGCAUAGGUCAGUUGCAGUAUACCAUCUAAAACCAUAUAGGUAAACUUUUUCACUCUAUUAAAACUCAUUGGUUUGUCUUGCACUUUGAAUGGCUAGUUUUAUCAGGCAUGAUUUCAUAACAUCAUACACUGGUCAUUUGGAAAAUAUGGGUUCAUUGACUAAUGCAUAUCUUCCAGAUGUUGCCAC
ensembl:lincRNA